AGUACUAGUGUUGAAAAUUACAAGUGUUAAAUUAAAUCCUGAUAAGAGCACAGUGAGUAUACAAAAAUGAGUGAUGAAAGCAAUUAAAAACAGUGUUAAAACUAAACAAAUAAUGUGUUAGUGCUAAAAAGAGUAUACUCACUAUAGCAGAUGAUAUCUGUGCUGACUAGAGAAAAUAAUAAAAGUGACUAGACUACUGAGAAACUCC